AAAUGGGUCCAUUAGUCAAACAGGUCCCACUUGUCAGGUUCUGAUAAAUGGGUCCCAGCUAUUAGGCUCGGAUUCUUCAUAUUUCAAUUUGACAUCAUAUUUGAAUUUCAUAGUAAGAAAAUAACCAGUAUUUAAAUAGCAAGAAAACACACAUAAUUAUUCAAAUAACAAUAGCCAAAUUCACUACAAGCUCUACAAAUGACACGUAAUACAAGCUCUAACAUAUACAAUGCUUUACAAGCUCUACAAAUGCAAAGCUCUACAGUACUUUACAAGCUCUCCAAGUAAUGUUACAAGCUCUACAAGUGUUCUCUUCUUCAGCAUGGAGCUCCUUCAAUAGCGAUCAAAUGUCGGACUCACGGACAGACAUAGCCAGGACUGGGCUGACAGAAAUACAACAUGCCUUCCACAGUCGCCCUAUUACAUGAAUCGGCUGAGAAGAAUCAGAAAAACUGGAGCCAAUAUAAUAUGAAUAUUCCAUUCAAAAAAUAUAGUAAAGGAGUUAAGGACAAUUCUUUAUAUAAUGAUAAACAGAUUUCAGCUAGUACCAAGCUUUUUUAGCCGAGCUAGUUAAAAUGAGAUAUUCAUACAAGACAAUAGAGACUAUAUGAAUAUGCAUGGCACAAGUGCAGGUCCUGGUUACUGGCUACACAUGUAACACCAAUAAAUGGAUAGAACAAUAACGGAACAACUCCAGAUUACAUACAAAGCUCUAUCCAUAGUGCCAGCUAUGGAUAAAAUCAUGCACACUCCCAACAGAACUCAGUCACACAGUAUAAUUCUAACUAUAAUAUAACCAAGAACUAAAGAUUGUCACACAGUAUAAUUCUGACUAUAAUAUAACCAAAGAACUAAAGAUUCUACGUACUUAGAACUCAACUAAUAAGUGAGAAUGAUCUGAUUGUAUGCAAACAAUUUUUUUUUAUUUGUUUAUAUUACAAAAACAGACAUAUCUUCCUUUAUGUGAAGAAGUUUGCUUCCUUCUUUAGUUAGUAGUAAUCGUUCCAUGCAAAUCAACCGUGUGUGUGUGCUUGAUCAUGGUCUGGAGAUUACACGCAUAGGGAACAGAAUCCUAAACAAAAUAGUAUCAAACAGCGGUGGGUGCUCAACCUAUUUGCCAUACACAAGCAACACUUAAAUCAUAGCAUGUGCAUAUACUUGUGUCACAUCAGGGGUUCAGAAUGUACUCAACAUAAUCUAAUAAAAAGUAUUGGGAGGAGAGGGAGAGAGAGGUAGAGAUGGACGUGCUACCUGUUGCUGCGGUGGUGCCUCUUGGUGGUCGUGCCUGAGCUCCUCCUGAAGCUGCUCACUAACCUGCAAGACAAACAAGACCAUGGAUGAGCUGCAACACAGGCACAUACAUUAAGUGAAGUGAAGAUAAGGAGAACAACCUGGAAGAAGAGAGGUGCUCUGUCCUCCGUCCGUGCCCGUCCUCCUCCUCCG
rnacentral:lncRNA from 1 species